rnacentral:rRNA from 1 species
AGAGUUUGAUCCUGGCUCAGAUUGAACGCUGGCGGCAGGCCUAACACAUGCAAGUCGAACGGUAACAUUUCUAGCUUGCUAGAAGAUGACGAGUGGCGGACGGGUGAGUAAUGCUUGGGAACUUGCCUUUGCGAGGGGGAUAACAGUUGGAAACGACUGCUAAUACCGCAUAAUGUCUUCGGACCAAACGGGGCUUCGGCUCCGGCGCAAAGAGAGGCCCAAGUGAGAUUAGCUAGUUGGUAAGGUAACGGCUUACCAAGGCGACGAUCUCUAGCUGUUCUGAGAGGAAGAUCAGCCACACUGGGACUGAGACACGGCCCAGACUCCUACGGGAGGCAGCAGUGGGGAAUAUUGCACAAUGGGGGAAACCCUGAUGCAGCCAUGCCGCGUGUGUGAAGAAGGCCUUCGGGUUAUAAAGCACUUUCAGUUGUGAGGAAAAGUUAGUAGUUAAUACCUGCUAGCCGUGACGUUAACAACAGAAGAAGCACCGGCUAACUCCGUGCCAGCAGCCGCGGUAAUACGGAGGGUGCGAGCGUUAAUCGGAAUUACUGGGCGUAAAGCGCACGCAGGCGGUUUGUUAAGCUAGAUGUGAAAGCCCCGGGCUCAACCUGGGAUGGUCAUUUAGAACUGGCAGACUAAAGUCUUGGAGAGGGGAGUGGAAUUCCAGGUGUAGCGGUGAAAUGCGUAGAUAUCUGGAGGAACAUCAGUGGCGAAAGCGACUCCCUGGCCAAAGACUGACGCUCAUGUGCGAAAGUGUGGGUAGCGAACAGGAUUAGAUACCCUGGUAGUCCACACCGUAAACGCUGUCUACUAGCUGUGUGUGCCUUUAAAGCGUGCGUA